CGGGUAAUCUUUCAAGAUCCUUUCCUUCUGUUCGGUGUACUGAGCCACUGCCAGAUUCCAGUUUGGCUCCUCGAGCACUUGGAAGAUUGCAGCCCCGAUGGACAGGUAGAAGAUGACAGCCGAGAGGGUCACAGAGGACCUGGAGUCUAUCCUGGGGCACAAGACAUGGGACAACCUGAAUGAGAGGCAGAUUUUUGUAUGCUUGGGCGUUUGGCACCUCACAAAUCCAACACCUAAAAUGCCAGCUGUUUCACAGGAAACAUUUCAGACAGAGUCUAAAUAUAAAGGUGACAUCACUAACAGAGUAAAAUAGCUCAGCUUUUAAAUGAACGGCAUG